rnacentral:rRNA from 1 species
AUUGAACGCUGGCGGAAUGCUUUACACAUGCAAGUCGAGCGGCAGCGCGGGGCAACCUAGCGGCGAGCGGCGAACGGGUGAGUAACAUAUCGGAACGUACCCCGUCGUGGGGGAUAACUAUCCGAAAGGAUGGCUAAUACCGCAUACGACCUGAGGGUGAAAGGGGGGGAUCGCAAGACCUCUCGCGAUGGGAGCGGCCGAUAUCGGAUUAGCUAGUUGGUAGGGUAAAGGCCUACCAAGGCGACGAUCCGUAGCUGGUCUGAGAGGACGACCAGCCACACUGGAACUGAGACACGGUCCAGACUCCUACGGGAGGCAGCAGUGGGGAAUUUUGGACAAUGGGCGAAAGCCUGAUCCAGCCAUUCCGCGUGAGUGAAGAAGGCCUUCGGGUUGUAAAGCUCUUUCGGCAGGAACGAAACGGUGGUCCCUAAUACGGACUGCUACUGACGGUACCUGAAGAAGAAGCACCGGCUAACUACGUGCCAGCCGCCGCAGUAA